GGGUUGUGAGGUUAAGCGACUAAGCGUACACGGUGGAUGCCCUGGCAGUCAGAGGCGAUGAAGGACGUGCUAAUCUGCGAUAAGCGUCGGUAAGGUGAUAUGAACCGUUAUAACCGGCGAUUUCCGAAUGGGGAAACCCAGUGUGAUUCGUCACACUAUCAUUAACUGAAUCCAUAGGUUAAUGAGGCGAACCGGGGGAACUGAAACAUCUAAGUACCCCGAGGAAAAGAAAUCAACCGAGAUUCCCCCAGUAGCGGCGAGCGAACGGGGAGCAGCCCAGAGCCUGAAUCAGUGUGUGUGUUAGUGGAAGCGUCUGGAAAGGCGCGCGAUACAGGGUGACAGCCCCGUACACAAAAAUGCACAUACUGUGAGCUCGAUGAGUAGGGCGGGACACGUGGUAUCCUGUCUGAAUAUGGGGGGACCAUCCUCCAAGGCUAAAUACUCCUGACUGACCGAUAGUGAACCAGUACCGUGAGGGAAAGGCGAAAAGAACCCCGGCGAGGGGAGUGAAAAAGAACCUGAAACCGUGUACGUACAAGCAGUGGGAGCACGCUUAGGCGUGUGACUGCGUACCUUUUGUAUAAUGGGUCAGCGACUUAUAUUCUGUAGCAAGGUUAACCGAAUAGGGGAGCCGAAGGGAAACCGAGUCUUAACUGGGCGUUAAGUUGCAGGGUAUAGACCCGAAACCCGGUGAUCUAGCCAUGGGCAGGUUGAAGGUUGGGUAACACUAACUGGAGGACCGAACCGACUAAUGUUGAAAAAUUAGCGGAUGACUUGUGGCUGGGGGUGAAAGGCCAAUCAAACCGGGAGAUAGCUGGUUCUCCCCGAAAGCUAUUUAGGUAGCGCCUCGUGAAUUCAUCUCCGGGGGUAGAGCACUGUUUCGGCAAGGGGGUCAUCCCGACUUACCAACCCGAUGCAAACUGCGAAUACCGGAGAAUGUUAUCACGGGAGACACACGGCGGGUGCUAACGUCCGUCGUGAAGAGGGAAACAACCCAGACCGCCAGCUAAGGUCCCAAAGUCAUGGUUAAGUGGGAAACGAUGUGGGAAGGCCCAGACAGCCAGGAUGUUGGCUUAGAAGCAGCCAUCAUUUAAAGAAAGCGUAAUAGCUCACUGGUCGAGUCGGCCUGCGCGGAAGAUGUAACGGGGCUAAACCAUGCACCGAAGCUGCGGCAGCGACACUAUGUGUUGUUGGGUAGGGGAGCGUUCUGUAAGCCUGUGAAGGUGUACUGUGAGGUAUGCUGGAGGUAUCAGAAGUGCGAAUGCUGACAUAAGUAACGAUAAAGCGGGUGAAAAGCCCGCUCGCCGGAAGACCAAGGGUUCCUGUCCAACGUUAAUCGGGGCAGGGUGAGUCGACCCCUAAGGCGAGGCCGAAAGGCGUAGUCGAUGGGAAACAGGUUAAUAUUCCUGUACUUGGUGUUACUGCGAAGGGGGGACGGAGAAGGCUAUGUUGGCCGGGCGACGGUUGUCCCGGUUUAAGCGUGUAGGCUGGUUUUCCAGGCAAAUCCGGAAAAUCAAGGCUGAGGCGUGAUGACGAGGCACUACGGUGCUGAAGCAACAAAUGCCCUGCUUCCAGGAAAAGCCUCUAAGCAUCAGGUAACAUCAAAUCGUACCCCAAACCGACACAGGUGGUCAGGUAGAGAAUACCAAGGCGCUUGAGAGAACUCGGGUGAAGGAACUAGGCAAAAUGGUGCCGUAACUUCGGGAGAAGGCACGCUGAUAUGUAGGUGAAGUCCCUCGCGGAUGGAGCUGAAAUCAGUCGAAGAUACCAGCUGGCUGCAACUGUUUAUUAAAAACACAGCACUGUGCAAACACGAAAGUGGACGUAUACGGUGUGACGCCUGCCCGGUGCCGGAAGGUUAAUUGAUGGGGUUAGCGCAAGCGAAGCUCUUGAUCGAAGCCCCGGUAAACGGCGGCCGUAACUAUAACGGUCCUAAGGUAGCGAAAUUCCUUGUCGGGUAAGUUCCGACCUGCACGAAUGGCGUAAUGAUGGCCAGGCUGUCUCCACCCGAGACUCAGUGAAAUUGAACUCGCUGUGAAGAUGCAGUGUACCCGCGGCAAGACGGAAAGACCCCGUGAACCUUUACUAUAGCUUGACACUGAACAUUGAGCCUUGAUGUGUAGGAUAGGUGGGAGGCUUUGAAGUGUGGACGCCAGUCUGCAUGGAGCCGACCUUGAAAUACCACCCUUUAAUGUUUGAUGUUCUAACGUUGACCCGUAAUCCGGGUUGCGGACAGUGUCUGGUGGGUAGUUUGACUGGGGCGGUCUCCUCCUAAAGAGUAACGGAGGAGCACGAAGGUUGGCUAAUCCUGGUCGGACAUCAGGAGGUUAGUGCAAUGGCAUAAGCCAGCUUGACUGCGAGCGUGACGGCGCGAGCAGGUGCGAAAGCAGGUCAUAGUGAUCCGGUGGUUCUGAAUGGAAGGGCCAUCGCUCAACGGAUAAAAGGUACUCCGGGGAUAACAGGCUGAUACCGCCCAAGAGUUCAUAUCGACGGCGGUGUUUGGCACCUCGAUGUCGGCUCAUCACAUCCUGGGGCUGAAGUAGGUCCCAAGGGUAUGGCUGUUCGCCAUUUAAAGUGGUACGCGAGCUGGGUUUAGAACGUCGUGAGACAGUUCGGUCCCUAUCUGCCGUGGGCGCUGGAGAACUGAGGGGGGCUGCUCCUAGUACGAGAGGACCGGAGUGGACGCAUCACUGGUGUUCGGGUUGUCAUGCCAAUGGCACUGCCCGGUAGCUAAAUGCGGAAGAGAUAAGUGCUGAAAGCAUCUAAGCACGAAACUUGCCCCGAGAUGAGUUCUCCCUGACUCCUUGAGAGUCCUGAAGGAACGUUGAAGACGACGACGUUGAUAGGCCGGGUGUGUAAGCGCAGCGAUGCGUUGAGCUAACCGGUACUAAUGAACCGUGAGGCUUAACCUUACAACGCCGAAGGUGUUU
rnacentral:rRNA from 1 species